rnacentral:rRNA from 1 species
UGCGUAGGUGGUCCGUUAAGUCCAUUGUGAAAUCCCCGGGCUCAACCCGGGAACGGCUUUGGAUACUGGCGGACUUGAGGCCAGUAGGGGUCACUAGAACUGACGGUGGAGCGGUGAAAUGCGUAGAUAUCGUCAGGAAUGCCGGUGGUGAAGACGGGUGACUGGGCUGGUUCUGACACUGAGGCACGAAAGCGUGGGGAGCAAACGGGAUUAGAUACCCCGGUAGUCCACGCCCUAAACGAUGCAGACUAGAUUGCAGCGGGUUACACCCCGUUGUGGUCGUAGAAAAAUUGUUAAGUCUGCCACCUGGGAAGUACGGUCGCAAGGCUAAA